CCAGCCCACACCACAAGCUAACCUGACUUGCUUACCUCUACGGAGACUCCCACGUCUCAGAAAGCAACACAUUGCUGCGAAUCCCAAGGUAGCCCGCCUCAAAAAGCACAGGCAACAAUGGAGGCGCCAAAAGGGAAUGCGUGCUGCACUGGCUUACACCCAUCUGCCAACCACAACUGAAGACACCUGGGAGGGCCUGACAUACUACACAGGUACUUCCUUGCUAUUGUCUCUGACUUCCAGUCUACCUAAUGGCGCCAUAGUGAGGGGCUGCACUUUUCCCAUGGCAGGCAUCGGCUGUAGGUCCCCUGAGCGUGCACUAUCUUUCAUGGAGGAAUGUGGCUGGGCAACUGUUUAGUUCACUCACUUUUUUUUGUAAUUUUCCAUGCAAAAGUUAUUUUCUCUUAUUUCAUCUCACUUUCAUAUAAUGUAUUGAACUCUUCCAUCUCUUACCCUUAGAGUCC